AUGAGUGCUUAUAUACUGUACCAAAAAAAUAAAAUAAAUAAAGGAUGUGUAUCCUGUUUUUGUGGUUUUCUGGGGGAUGUGGGUUAUGAGCAAAUUUGGGGGCUGGGUUGUAAAAACCCUUCAGUUUUACUCAGCAGCAGGUUUCAACCAGAUUCUCAUCACUAUCCAAGUUACUAAAAGACCAACAAUUGUAACUUUCAAGGUCUGUUGAGCAAAAAAAAUACAGAAGUGCCUAGUUGAAUCUCCAAUAUAAAAAAAACAUAUCUUUUGGUGGCUUCUGUAGGGGAGAAGAGCCUUUUUGCUAAGAAGAUUUUUGUGAAGAUAUCUAAUACAACAUGCAACGGUACCUUGUAAUUUGUGCUCUUCUGUUAUCUCUUAUGGCCAUGGUCCUUGGAAAAGAAUCUGCUGUCAACCAAGCGCAGAACUCAACAGAAAAAAUUCCUGGCAAUGGAGCUUCGGGGACCACAAUCAUGUUUCUCACCAUCCUAAUGUGUUCAUUCUGUCAUUUCAUCUUAAAGAAAUAAAAUACGGUGCUCCGAUGAUGAAGAUUAUGAAAUGUCAUCUCAUUCAGCACCAAGAGAGCUUUGAAUCUUACCAAGAACCCUUUAUACCAAUGAGCAGAAAGCAUGAAGACUCCAGAUAAAUGAUACCGAACCUUUCAAGAUAUAUUUUUCCAUAUCUUCCAUGGCUCUUUAGAUAUCUUGUUAAAUAAAAUGUGUUAACCCAAA